GAGACGAGUAUUUACACAUCUGUCUGCUCAUCUGAAGACACGCUCGUCAAGAUGUGGCCCUCAUCACCGCACCGCUGCGUGGGAAGAGGGGCUCGGGGACCCCGAGUGCACGUUUGAUUUAAUGACAUCACCUUGGCCAAGAUUCAGAAAUUCAGAACUCUAACUUACCCUGAACUAUCUACAAACGAAAAUGGAAAGAUGAUUCUGUUUUGUGUCUCUGCCUCUGUGUACUCCAACUUCGGGGCCUGAAAGGACAGGAACAAAGUGUGGUGGUUUGUCAUCAGAGCUCCAGGAAGCCACAAGGAAACGGAGCUUAGGAACCAAAUUGCUCAAAAUGAGAAAGAAAUGAAAAAUGUACAGCAGAUGCUCCCAGACUGGAGUGUAACCCUCAGGAAGAAGCGACCACCAGUAAUGCUAAUUGGUCUUGAACAAUGACUGUUUCCACGGAGAGAGGAGAGACGGCACCAUCGCUCUCCGAUUCUGUUCUAUGCACAUUUUCCUUGGAUUUGAAAUUGAUAAUUGUAGACACAAAGACACACUCAGUACAAUUUGCCAACCUAUUUAGAGUCAUGGGUGUCACCCUGUAUGUCUGGUAUGUGUGCAGAUGGUUCCUGCCGACUUCAAUAAAAUUGGAAA